rnacentral:rRNA from 1 species
AGUGAACGCUGGCGGUAGGCCUAACACAUGCAAGUCGAACGGCAGCACAGUAAGAGCUUGCUCUUACGGGUGGCGAGUGGCGGACGGGUGAGGUAUACAUCGGAAUCUACUUUUUCGUGGGGGAUAACGUAGGGAAACUUACGCUAAUACCUCAUACGACCUACGGGUGAAAGCAUGGGAUCUUCGGACCUUGCGCGUUUGUAUGAGCCGAUGUCGGAUUAGCUAGUUGGCGGGGUAAAGGCCCACCAAGGCGACGAUCCGUAGCUGGUCUGAGAGGAUGAUCAGCCACACUGGAACGGAGACACGGACAAGAGUCCUACGGGAGGCAGCAGUGGGGAAUAUUGGACAAUGGGCGCAAGCAUGAUCCAGCCAUACCGCGUGGGUGAAGAAGGCCUUCGGGUUGUAAAGCCCUUUUGUUGGGAAAGAAAAGCAGCAGGUUAAUACCCCGCUGUUCUGACGGUACCCAAAGAAUAAGCACCGGCUAACUUCGUG